rnacentral:miRNA from 1 species
CGACACUGCUUAUAGGCAACUGUUGUGUGUUUGUGGGCAGAUGAAACAAUCUGGAAUGAGAACAGAUUGUUUCAUCUGCCCACAAACACACAACAGUUGCCUAUAAGCAGUGUCG